UUCGGCACUUAGAAAAGAAUGCGGUGGUCCCACCUGACCCCAUGCCGAACUCAGAAGUGAAACGCCGUAGCGCCGAUGGUAGUGUGGGGUCUCCCCAUGCGAGAGUAGGGAACUGCCAGAC
rnacentral:rRNA from 1 species